GGGACACCAAGACGCCCAACGACGGUGGGAAAGAGGCUCCGCGGCCGCAGUCUGAGCAGCCGGCCAGCCUCACACUGGCUGCACAGCGGCUUCUCUGCCACCACGAAGAGAAGGUUGGUGUGGGUGAGUCUCUGUGCGUGGAAGAGCCUGGAGGCAGCACAGAAAGGCGGGGCGCUGAGCCAGCCAGCCUCGAAUCUGAGAGGGACCUCAAAGAGCAGAGCCUCGCCCUGGCUGAACAGAGAAGCCUCAGCUUCCCACCUGCUGCUGUGCGCCUGGGAGGACACUCACCAUCCUGUUGUGGGGGCUUGAAGACAUAGCCAUGGUUAUCCAGGCUGCGGCGGUAGAAGCUGGCAUUGAAGGGCUCAGGGGUCUCUGUCCAGUCCUCAGCUGCCCUGGUCACACAAGAGGGCACGGCCAGCGCCUCUGGGCCCAUCCCAGCCUCCUGCCCCCACAGGCUGGGUGGUGCCUACGUGUUGAGAUCCUGGUCCCGCCACACGCGCUCCACCAGCUGCUGUGUGAUGCC